GUGCCGGAGACCUGGGUUCGAUCCUUGGGUCAGGAAGAUCCCCUGGAGAAGGGAAUGGCUACCCACUCCAGUAUUCUUGCCUGGGGAAUCCCAUGGACAGAGGAGCCUGGUGGUCUGUAGUCCAUGGGGUCACAAAGAGUCGGACACAAUUGAGCGACUAACACUACACUGAAUCAGGAUGAUUUCAUCUCAAGAUAAACUAACUACUUACGUGUCCAGGUAAGGUUACUCACUGAAAUUCUUGGAAUUUGGGAGUACACUGCUUACUGCUCUGAUUCUGCUGCUCACAUAUAUCUCUUUUUUCCCCUGCUGAUUUUUUUUCUACCUAUCAUGUUAGAGGCCACGUCAUGUUAGAAUGCUAGGGGGAAAAAAAAAAAGCCAGUAACAUGAUGUUAGAGGACAGUGUCAAUGAUAAGACAAGAAUGGAACAUAGAACAAAACCAGAAAGCAGAGCAAACAAAGAAAAGGAAGAGAUCUUGGCCAGAUCAGAGAGUGGGUCUGACUGACAGUUCUAAGCUGUUUGGAAGGACAUGCGGGCAGCUGGGCUUCCAUGUCGGGUGGUUGAGAAGCUAUUCAGUUUUUUCUCUGGGGGCCCGGCUGUGAGUAUCUAUAAUCGUUUCGUGUGUGUGUGUAUUAGUCGCUCAGCUGUGUUUGACUCUUUGCGACUCCAUAGGCUGUAGCCCACCAAGCCCUUCUGUCCGUGGGAUUCUCCAGGCAAGAACUGGAGUGGGUUGCCAUUCCCUCCUCCGGGGGAUCUUUCCAACCCAGGGAUUGAACCCAGGUCCCCCAUACUGUGGGCAGAUUCUUUACCAGCUGAACUACCAGGGAAGCCCAAGAAUACUGGAGUGGGUAGCCUAACCCUUCUCCCAGGGAUCUUCCCAACUCAGGAAUCAACCCGGGGUGUCCUGCAUUGCAGGUGGAUCCUUUACCAGCUGAGCUACCAGGGAAGGCCCAUAAUUGUUUUAACUGGGGCCAUUUAGUUUCUUUUUGGUCAAAUCCUCCCAUUUCUUGUCUGGGGAAAGUGCACCUCAUUCCAGUUUUCUGGGAACUUAAGUGGGAGAGACAGCUAUUCAACAUAUAAGAUGUUCACUUAAUUCUUCUAUUUUCCAUCCAGGUUUCUGCUCCCACCUUCUGCUCUGCCUGCUUUGCCUGAGUCUGGGGACUCCACAAAUGGAAGAUUUGGAGACAAAAGUAUUUAGAAAAGAAGUGUACUCGAAAAAGAUCUGUUAAGAAUCUCCAUGGGCUAAAAGGAUUAAAUCAUCAAAAAAUAUAUGCAUGUAUCUAAAGGUACAAUGUGCUUUUCCCUUUUUGACUAUGAGAUGAGGUGUGUAUGAUUACCCAAAGUGAGAUGCCGUUUCACUUCUACAGUUCCACCUGGUGGUCAGGUUUCUGGUCCUGAGGCACAUAUUUAACCAUGAUUCCUGCAAACUAACCUGAGAAGCCUUCCUGCCAAAGAGGAUCUACGCCUGCUUUUACCAAACAGAUGGGGAAGUUCACCUUGGAAUUAUUCAAAGUUUUUUUUGGGAAGCAGGAGGAUGCUGAUUCCCUUUAGGAUGGACUGGUUGGAUCUCCUUGCAGUCCAAGGGACUCUCAAGAAUCUUCUUCAACACCACAGCUCAAAAGCAUCAAUUCUUCGGGCGAUUGGAAAAUGCCACCCGCCUCAAGAUAUGUUGACAUCUUAGUCCCUUGAACCUGUGAGUGAGACCUUGUUUGAUAAAAGGACUUUGCAGGUGUAAGUUGAGCAUCUUGAGAGGAGACCGUCAUCCUGGAUCAUCCAGUUCAGUUCAGUUCAGUUGCUCAGUUGUGUCCAACUCUUUGCAACCCCAUGGACUGCAGCACGCCAGGCCCCCGUGUCCAUCACCAACUCCCAGAGUUUACCCAAACUCAUGUCCAUCAAGUCGGUGAUGCCAUCCAACCACCUCAUCCUCUGUCGUCCCCUUCUCCCGCCUUCAAUCUUUCCCAGCAUCAGGGUCUUUUCCAAGGAGUCAGUUCUUCACAUCAGGUGGCCAAAGUAUUGAGUUUUAGCUUCAACAUUAGUCCUUCCAAUGAAUAUUCAGGACUGAUCUCCUUGAGGAUUGACUGGUUUGAUCUCCUUGCUGUCCAAGGGACUCUCAAGAGUCUUCUCCAACACCACAGUUCAAAAACAUCAAUUCUUCGGCACUCAGCUUUCUUUACAGUCCAACUCACAUCCAUACAUGACUACUAGAAAAACCAUAGCCUUGACUAGACAGACCUUUGCUGGCAAAGUAAUGUCUCUGCUUUUUAAUAUGCUGUCUAGGUUAGUCAUAACUUUCCUUCCAAGGAGUAAGCAUCUUUUCAUUUCAUGGCUGCAGUCACCAUCUGCAGUGAUCAUCCAGGUGGGCCCUAAAUGCCAUCACGAGGGUCCUUAAGGGACAGAGGCAGAGGGGGCAGGCAGAUGCACAGAGGGAGCAACGAUGGGAAGAUGGGGGCAGAGACGGAAGGAUGCGUCCACAAGCCAAGGAGGCCAAGGAGGGCCGGUCCACCCCAGAGGCUCGAAGAGGAGAGGAGAGCUUCUCCCCCGGGAUCCUAGGAGGGAGCACACCCCUGCCAGGGCCUUGACCUCUGACCUCUGUCCUCCAGAACUAUGUGUGAAUAAAUUUUGGUUGUUUGAAGCCAUUCAGUGUGUGGUCCUUUGUUACAUCCUAGGAAAUGGGUAUAGAUGACUAUGCCUCAAACACCCAGUUCCAGGAAACGGACGAGAUCGG
ensembl:lncRNA